GACGAACGCUGGCGGCGUGCUUAACACAUGCAAGUCGAACGGAAAGGCCCUGCUUUUGUGGGGUGCUCGAGUGGCGAACGGGUGAGUAACACGUGAGUAACCUGCCCUUGACUUUGGGAUAACUUCAGGAAACUGGGGCUAAUACCGGAUAGGAGCUCCUGCUGCAUGGUGGGGGUUGGAAAGUUUCGGCGGUUGGGGAUGGACUCGCGGCUUAUCCGCUUGUUGGUGGGGUAGUGGCUUACCAAGGCUUUGACGGGUAGCCGGCCUGAGAGGGUGACCGGCCACAUUGGGACUGAGAUACGGCCCAGACUCCUACGGGAGGCAGCAGUGGGGAAUAUUGCACAAUGGGCGGAAGCCCGAUGCAGCAACGCCGCGUGCGGGAUGACGGCCUUCGGGUUGUAAACCGCUUUCGCCUGUGACGAAGCGUGAGUGACGGUAAUGGGUAAAGAAGCACCGGCUAACUACGUG
rnacentral:rRNA from 1 species